AAACAGCGGAUUCAGCAGCGGCCUGCACUAUUUAAGGGCAUCAGAGAUGGGCGCCGGCAUUCGGUUCGACCGAUUGGGCGUUCGGUCGCUGCCACGUCGUCGUCGUCAGUGACGCUGUCCCUGAGGACUGGCCGGCGGUGGGCGUUUCCCGCUGCUGCACCGGCGACUCCCAGCAUCGCCACGAGCCGCCGCGUCUGCAGGAGGCGCGCUGGCCGGGCCUCGGGCCGCUAACCUCCUACCGCCUGCGCAGCGGCUGACAGAGCGCGGCGUCACGUUCCAAGGACUGUGUGCAUCACCUCGUCUCCAUCAAGACACGAGCGGUGGGACUGAGCUACCGGAAAAUGUAUCGGGAGAACCAACAACAAAGAGGAAGAUUGCUAAAAACAGCCACCUAUUAUAAGUGGUGUCAGUCGGGCAACCUGCGCAUCACACACUCCUGUUACAAUUGGAGACAGUAGUGGUCUUCUCCCUGAAUUUGGAGGAAACUGUGGCUGGUAAUCGACGAGGAUAUGUGGCACCUGAGAAGGGCAACAAUGGAUCAGCAACUCCUGCAACAUUACUAAUUUCCUCUGAAAAAGAAAGAGCUGUUAAGUCGUUGGGUAGCCAAUAUGAGGCGAGAUAAGUGGCAGCCAACUCAAUAUAGCUACGUAUGCACCUUUCACUUUGAAGAUAGAUACAUGUAUAGUACAAACGAGAAAAGGCGACUUCUGGCAAACGCAGUACCGAUAAUAUUUAUGUUUCUUGACUGUCUGCAGAAAACAACUAUAGUAUAGAGACAACCAAGGAGACAGCCUGUCAGUGAAGAAUCAGCUUCCUUAUCAAAUGAACCAGGUGAAAGAGUGAAUCAGAAUGAUCAUACAGAUCAUUCUUAUUGUUUGCCUAGCCCCCAAAAAUUGAAACAGAAUUAUGAGGCACUACAGAAAAGGACCGAGAAGCUGAGGAAGCAAGCGAAACAUGCAAAGCAAAGUGUUUCAAGAAAGAAGAAACAAAAUGUGACAUAUAAAACAGUGGUUGUAGGCCUAAAUAAGAGACUUCAAGACUGCUUCUGAAGUGAUAAGGAUGUGACAAAAAUAGUGAUAUUCUGAAGCAACUUUUUGCAAUGCAAAACAAAUGUUCAAUUCCUGAAUAUCCUAAAGAAAUAAAACAGUUUAUCCUUA